AACGAACGCUGGCGGCAUGCCUAACACAUGCAAGUCGAACGAGACCUUCGGGUCUAGUGGCGCACGGGUGCGUAACGCGUGGGAACCUGCCCUUAGGUUCGGAAUAACUCCCCGAAAGGGGUGCUAAUACCGGAUAAUGUCUUCGGACCAAAGAUUUAUCGCCUUUGGAUGGGCCCGCGUUGGAUUAGCUAGUUGGUAGGGUAAAAGCCUACCAAGGCGACGAUCCAUAGCUGGUCUGAGAGGAUGAUAAGCCACACUGGGACUGAGACACGGCCCAGACUCCUACGGGAGGCAGCAGUGGGGAAUAUUGGACAAUGGGCGAAAGCCUGAUCCAGCAAUGCCGCGUGAGUGAUGAAGGCCUUAGGGUUGUAAAGCUCUUUUACACGGGAUGAUAAUGACAGUACCGGGAGAAUAAGCUCCGGCUAACUCCGUG
rnacentral:rRNA from 1 species